rnacentral:rRNA from 1 species
UCAAGCUGAAAAGAGCGCAAGGGGAAUGCCUUGGCAUCAGGAGCCGACGAAGGACGUGACAAGCUGCGAUAAGCCACGGGGAGGAGCAAAUAUCCGUUAUAUCCGUGGAUCUCCGAAUGGGGGAACCCGCUCAAGCAAUACUUGAGCAUCGUGCGUUGAAUCAAAUAGGCGUACGAAGGGAACGGCCUGAACUGAAACAUCUAAGUAGGGCCAGGAAAAGACAUCAACCGAGAUUCCGCUAGUAGUGGCGAGCGAACGCGGAGGAGGCCAAACCGAGGGACGCAAGUUCUUCGGGGUUGCGGACAGACAUCAAGACCAGAGGUAAUUAAGAGAACGGCGUGGGAAAGCCGGCCACAGAAGGUGAGAGCCCUGUAUCUGAAAAUGAAGACUGGCAGUCUGGAUCCAGAGUACCGCGGGACACGUGAAACCCCGUGGGAAACCGGGUGGACCACCAUCCAAGCCUAAAUACUACCUGAUGACCGAUAGAGGAGCAGUACCGUGAGGGAAAGGUGAAAAGGACCCCGGGAGGGGAGUGAAAGAGAACCUGAAACCUUGUGCUUACAAGCAGUCAAAGCACGUUAACGUGUGAUGACGUACUUUUUGUAGAACGGUCCGGCGAGUUAUAGUAACGAGCAAGCUUAAGGUAUUGAGUACCGGAGGCGAAGCGAGAGCGAGUCUGAAUAGGGCGUAAAGUUCGUUGCCAUAGACCCGAAACCGGGUGACCUAUCCAUGAGCAGGCUGAAGUGAGAGUAAAAUCUCAUGGAGGGCCGAACCGACCCCCGUUGCAAUGGUGGCGGAUGACUUGUGGAUAGCGGAGAAAUUCCAAUCGAACUCGGAGAUAGCUGGUUCUCCCCGAAAUAGCUUUAGGGCUAGCGUUAUUUUAGAUUACCGGAGGUAAAGCACUGAAUGGUCUAGGGGCCGCGAGGUUACCAAAGCCUAUCAAACUCUGAAUGCCGGAUAAUUGAUGAAUAGCAGUCAGACUGUGUGAGAUAAGUCUCAUAGUCAAAAGGGAAACAGCCCAGAUCUACAGCUAAGGUCCCAAAUGAACACUAAGUGGAAAAUGAUGUGAAACUGCGAAGACAACCAGGAUGUUGGCUUAGAAGCAGCCACUCAUUCAAAGAGUGCGUAAUAGCUCACUGGUCGAGUGGUUUUGCGCAGAAAAUGUAACGGGGCUAAGUGUUCAACCGAAGCUUAGGCAUUGCAGUAAUGCAUUGGGUAGGGGAGCGUCGUAUGCGGGGCGAAGUCAGAGCGGAAGCACUGGUGGACUGCAUACGAGUGAGAAUGCCGGAAUAAGUAGCGAGAAUUAUGUGAGAAUCAUAAUGGCCGAAAAUCUAAGGUUUCCUGGGGAAGGUUCGUCCGCCCAGGGUUAGUCGGGAGCUAAGCUCAGGCCGAAAGGCGUAGGCGAUGCACAUACGGUAGAAAUUCCGUAACCACCGAACUUUAAGCUAGAGGGACGCUUUCUUUAAGGUUAUCCCGGGCGAUGGUUGCCCCGGGCGUAAGGGACCGAAAUAUAGUAGGGAAGUAACUGGCGAGAGAGACGAGAAAAGCUCUAGUGUAUACUAAGGUGCCCGUACCGCAAACCGACACAGGUAGAUGGGAUGAGUAUUCUAAGGCCAACGGGAGAAGGGUUGUUAAGGAACUCGGCAAAUUGGCCCCGUAACUUCGGGAUAAGGGGCGCCUGCGAGAGCAGGCCGCAGUGAAAAGGCCCAAGCGACUGUUUAGCAAAAACACAGCUCUCUGCUAAAUCGAAAGAUGACGUAUAGGGGGUGACGCCUGCCCGGUGCUGGAAGGUUAAGGGGAGUGCUUAGCGCAAGCGAAGGUGCGAACUUAAGCCCCAGUAAACGGCGGCCGUAACUAUAACGGUCCUAAGGUAGCGAAAUUCCUUGUCAGGUAAGUUCUGACCCGC